AGAAAGGAGAAAAAUCAUUUUCUUCUGUGCGUACAGAAGCUUUCUCCCCCCUCCAUGGAAGAAAGGAUGCAUGCAAAGGUUUCUUCAAGCAAUAGGUUCCUUCACCAUCUUAGAAACUUCAAUCAAAGGAAGAAAAGGGUUGAUACACAUUUGGUGUUAAAGUUUGCUUUUCCUUCACCAUCUUCACUUACCCAUCAAGAAUCACCUUCAAGAAGUCAAGGCGUUAAUGUUGGAAUUCUGACUUAAUUAGCAGCAGAGUUUUUACUUUGAGAGUUUUUGUUCGACAUACCAAUUUGAAAGAAGUGCCUGAAGUACCAGCCAAACCUGUCCCCUGCUGAAGGCGCCUAUUUUUUAAGGCUUUCUCAAUGCUAGACUCACCCAGAAACAAUCACAAACUCACAAACACCUUUGUGCCAGAAGCAACAUCACUCCCUACGAGACACAAACUGUGAAAACAAAUGCCUCAGCUCCCUCAUAUGUCUCGAUGAUCCAAGUAGAUACAACAAGAAACGUAGUUCCUUCGAUGAUCCACUGCAGCCUCCACACCUCGGUUUAUGCACAUUCAACAUGUGUCUUUGCAUCCACUCUCCACCGCGUUCUUGCAUCGGCUGUCACGACUCACGUCGUCACCGUUCGUUUCCUCCGUUCAUUGAGCGAAUUAGGCUUUUCAUAUGUCAAGCGGGAUCAUGAGCUUGAAUGUAACUCACAUAUUGUCCAGAUACAAGCUGGAGUUUAGAGUAAAAAAGAUGUGUUUCAUAUUUGAUUGUGAUAAAAUAGAGUUAAUUUUACCAUCAUAAUUGUUUACAUUUAUUUACUUUCCUUUGUAAAUUAUUUUGCAAUUUGUGUAUGAUGUGGUUGUUUCCUAUAUUAUGUCAAGGUCUACAAAAGGUCAUGUUUAGCUAGAGGAGGAUAUUAAGUUGGACACUUAAUGGCUUUAUCAUUGCCAUAAUAAUAUUCUUCUGCACAAUGGCAGUGGAGAUUUAGGCCUUUGAUGAGGAACAAAGAACUUCUGGGUAGGAUGUGUGGGAGCAACUAUGUAUACAAUACAUGUGUGGUUUGAGAUGUGAACUUGCAGAUAUCACUUGCCAUAAGUUAACUACAUUUGGAGUAUCAGUUCGAUGUUUGAUCGCAGUGGCACUUACAACGGUUUCUUUGUCACGGUUAGCAUCUAUAAAGGGGCAUGUGAAGAUGAUUGUGAACAAAAAAGAAGUACAAACAAGUUGGAGACGAGUCUUUACUCAACUGUAUGACAUGUUUGAAUCCAAAUUCAGCCAAAUGGGGUUCCAUAUUUUCAUCAAAUACAAUGUAGGUGGACUUCAAGUCUCCAUGUGGUAUAGCUGGGUAACAUUCAUGGUGAAGGAAGCAAAGUCCCCUUGCAAUUCCAACUACUGUUCUGAAUUUAGCUGACCAAUCCCAUUUCAUUCCAAUUUUCUCAGCCAAAUUUCCAUUUGGCAAGUAAUCAUGCAAAAGGAAGAACUGCUUUUGUAACUGCAGAUGAUGGUGAUGGAACUUGAGUAUGUUCAGUAGCAACAACACUGAAGCUUGUCAAGACAUCAUUUGGUGUAAAUUGUGGAAGUCCAACAAACGAAACUAUUUUCCAUUGACUCUUAAAUCCCUUUCUGAGAUGAAGUAUUCCAAAACCCAAUACCAGAAGGAUUAUUAGCAACCCUACAGAGAGUAAAACAAUAUGUGUAAGCUUCCAAGUGUUUUUGCUGCCUAAUAUUCCUACUGACUUAAAACACGAUCUUAAUGGUGCUCCACAUAGCUCUGAAUUUCCAACAAAUGCACUGCUAUCCAUUAACUUGAAUGACUUUCCUUUUGGUAUUGAACCCGAGAUAUUGUUGAAAGACACGUUGAGAAGUUGUAAACUUGAUGAACUACCAAACUUUUCAGGGAUGAAGCCAUUGAACUUAUUGUUAGAUAAAUCUACAAUUUCAAGAAUAGGGAUACUUGCAAGCUCCUCAGGACUCAAAUGAAGGAAGAUUGCCUAAAAGACCACAAGAAGAUGCUGAGAAAUUUUGAAGUUGCGGCAAAGACCAAAUUUGUGAAGGGAUUUUUCCUCCUAAUUGCAUAUUACAAGACACAUUGAAAUACUCCAAUUGA